AACGUAGGAGACAAACGUUAUCCGGAGUUACUGGGCGUAAAGGGCGUGUAGGCGGUUUCGUAAGUCUGGCGUGAAAUUUCUCGGCUUAACCGAGGCAGGUCGUCGGGUACUGCGGAACUUGAGGACGGUAGAGGCGUGUGGAAUUCCGGGUGUAGUGGUGAAAUGCGUAGAGAUCCGGAGGAACACCAGUGGCGAAGGCGACACGCUGGGCCGUACCUGACACUGAUGCGCGACAGCAUGGGGAGCAAACAGG
rnacentral:rRNA from 1 species